GACGAACGCUGGCGGCGUGCUUAACACAUGCAAGUCGAACGCUGAAGCUUGGUGCUUGCACUGGGUGGAUGAGUGGCGAACGGGUGAGUAAUACGUGAGUAACCUGCCCUUGACUCUGGGAUAAGCCUGGGAAACUGGGUCUAAUACUGGAUAUGACAUGCCACUGCAUGGUGGUGUGUGGAAAGGGUUUUACUGGUUUUGGAUGGGCUCACGGCCUAUCAGCUUGUUGGUGGGGUAAUGGCGUACCAAGGGGACGACGGGUAGCCGACCUGAGAGGGUGGCCGGCCACACUGGGACUGCGACACGGCCCAGACUCCUACGGGAGGCAGCAGGGGGGAAUAUUGCACAAUGGGCGGAAGCCUGAUGCAUCGACGCCGCGUGAGGGAUGACGGCCUUCGGGUUGUAAACCUCUUUCAGCACGGAAGAAGCGAGAGUGACGGUACGUGAAGAAGAAGCGCCGGCUAACUACGUG
rnacentral:rRNA from 1 species